AACAACUUUGAUGAUCCUACAGACCUGUAAUGAGUUUUGCGGACAUGAUCGCAGAAUUUAAGAACAUCUAAGGGACUGAGUUGUG